rnacentral:rRNA from 1 species
AGAGUUUGAUCCUGGCUCAGGACGAACGCUGGCGGCGUGCCUAAAACAUGCAAGUCGAACGACCCUUCGGGGUAGUGGCGAACGGCGUAGUAAUACAUGAGAAACGUGCCCUUAAGACUGGGAUAUACCGAGGAAACCCGGAGCAAUACCAGAUGUGACGGAGUGGUGGCAUCACCAUUCCGUUAAACGGUUUUUCGCUUAAGGAGCGUCUCAUGGCCUAUCAGGUAGUUGGUGAGGUAAUGGCUCACCAAGCCGACGACGGGUAGCGGGUCUGAGAGGAUGAUCCGCACGAGUGGGACUGCGACGCGGCCCACACACCUACGGGUGGCAGCAGUUGGGAAUCUUGCACAAUGGGGGAAACCCUGAUGCAGCGACGCCGCGUGGACGAUGAAGGCCUUAGGGUUGUAAAGUCCUUUUUUGGGGAAAGACUUAGGACGGUACCCCAAGAAUAAGCUCCGGCUAACUACGUGCCAGCAGCCGCGGUAAGACGUAGGGAGCAAGCGUUGUCCGGAUUUACUGGGCGUAAAGAGCGCGUAGGCGGCUCGUUAAGUGUGAAGUGAAAUCUCCAGUGCUCAACACGGAAACUGCUUUACAUACUGGCGAGCUUGAGGAAAGCAGAGGCAACUGGAAUUCCCAGUGUAGAGGUGAAAUUCGUAGAUAUUGGGAAGAACACCGGUGGCGAAGGCGGCUCACUGGCUCGUUUCUGACGCUGUAGCGCGAAAGCGUGGGAUCAAACAGGAUUAGAUACCCUGGUAGUCCACGCUGUAAACGAUGAGUGCUAGGCGUUGGCACGCUUGCGUGUCAGUGCCGCANUAACGCGUGAAGCACUCCGCCUGGGGAGUACGGUCGCAAGAUUAAAACUCAAAGGAAUUGACGGGGGCCCGCACAAGCGGUGGAGCAUGUGGUUUAAUUCGACGCAACGCGCAGAACCUUACCAGCCCUUGACAUGCCGUGCUACUCACAGAGAUGUGGGGUUCCAGCAAUGGACGCGGACACAGGUGCUGCAUGGCUGUCGUCAGCUCGUGUCGUGAGAUGUUGGGUUAAGUCCCGCAACGAGCGCAACCCUUGCCUUCAGUUGCCAUCAUUAAGUUGGGCACUCUGGAGGGACUGCCGGCGGUAAGCCGGAGGAAGGUGGGGAUGACGUCAAGUCCUCAUGGCCCUUACGGGCUGGGCUACACACGUGCUACAAUGGUGGCGACAGAGGGCACAAGCGAGCGUGUGAACGUUAGCAAAUCCCAAAAAGCCAUCUCAGUUCAGAUUGCGCUCUGCAACUCGGGCGCAUGAAGGUGGAAUCGCUAGUAAUCGCAGAACAGCAGGCUGCGGUGAAUACGUUCCCGGGCCUUGUACACACCGCCCGUCACACCAUGGGAGUUGGUUUUACCUUAAGACGGUGCGCUAACCCGCAAGGGAUGCAGCCGGCCACGGUAAGGUCAGCGACUGGGGUGAAGUCGUAACAAGGUAGCC